UCACCCCUCAAGCCUCCCGGCUUGGUGUUGGACGGCCUGGUCGAGAUAUCUAAAUCUCGACCCCUCCUAAAGACAAUGACGGCGGCCUCGUGGGACCCCCGGUACACUGAGCUUCUUAAUUGAGCACGUAUCGGAUCUAGGGCACCCGGGACCCGGUCUCUCUCCCUUUUAUAGGGAAACUCCUUUCUAA
rnacentral:misc_RNA from 1 species